rnacentral:rRNA from 1 species
CCUACGGGGGGCUGCAGUGGGGAAUAUUGGACAAUGGGUGAAAGCCUGAUCCAGCCAUGCCGCGUGUGUGAAGAAGGCCUUCGGGUUGUAAAGCACUUUCAGUGGGGAAGAAAGCCUUGGGGCUAAUACCCUCGAGGAAGGACAUCACCCACAGAAGAAGCACCGGCUAACUCCGUGCCAGCAGCCGCGGUAAUACGGAGGGUGCGAGCGUUAAUCGGAAUUACUGGGCGUAAAGCGCGCGUAGGCGGUCUGAUAAGCCGGUUGUGAAAGCCCCGGGCUCAACCUGGGAACGGCAUCCGGAACUGUCAGGCUAGAGUGCAGGAGAGGAAGGUAGAAUUCCCGGUGUAGCGGUGAAAUGCGUAGAGAUCGGGAGGAAUACCAGUGGCGAAGGCGGCCUUCUGGACUGACACUGACGCUGAGGUGCGAAAGCGUGGGUAGCAAACAGGAUUAGAUACCCCGGUAGUC